GGAUUGUGGCUCAGCGGUAGAGCACUUGCUUAUUAGCAUGUGCGAGGCACUGGGUUCGAUCCUCAGCACCA
rnacentral:tRNA from 1 species